GUCCUCUUGUUUAUAUAUGAGGUCUGACCUGCCCGGUGAAUGAUUUUUAACGGCCGCGGUAUCUUGACCGUGCAAAGGUAGCAUAAUCAUUAGUCUUUUAAUAGGAGGCUGGUAUGAAGGGUUUGACGAGGUGUUAGCUGUCUCAUUUAAUUUGAAAUUAAAAUUUAACUUUUCAGUUAAAAGGCUGAAAUUUUGUUGGAAGACGAGAAGACCCUAUAGAGCUUUAUAAUUAAGGUUUUAAUUAAUUUUUGUUUAUUAUUAUUUUUUAUAACUAUUAAUUAUUUUGUUGGGGUGACAAAAAUAUAUAAUUAACUUUUUUAUUUUCUUAACAUUGAUUAAUGAUUUUUAGAUCCAAUUUUAUUGAUUGUUAGAUUAAGUUACC
rnacentral:rRNA from 1 species